rnacentral:rRNA from 1 species
GCGCACCAGUCGAGAACCUCUGCAAUGUGCGAAAGCAUGACAGGGGCAUUCCAAGUGCUCUUGUUUACAAGAGCUUUCUCCGGUCCAAGACGCCGGAGGAAUAAGGGCUGGGUAAGACCGGUGCCAGCCGCCGCGGUAACACCGGCAGCUCGAGUGGUGGCCGCUAUUAUUGGGCCUAAAGCGUUCGUAGCCGGGCAGGCAAGUG